rfam:Caloramator australicus RC3, WGS project CAKP01000000 data, contig: 137
CAGAACGUCGUGAGACAGUUCGGUCCCUAUCCGUCGCGGGCGUGGGAAAUUUGAGGGGAGCUGUCCUUAGUACGAGAGGACCGGGAUGGACGAACCUCUGGUGCACCAGUUGUCAUGCCAAUGGCACAGCUGGGUAGCCAAGUUCGGACGGGAUAAGCGCUGAAGGCAUCUAAGCGCGAAGCCCACCCCAAGAUGAGAUUUCCCACGCGGAAGCGGUAAGACCCCUGGAAGACUACCAGGUAGAUAGGCCAGAGGUGUAAGCGUCGUAAGGCGUUUAGCUGACUGGUACUAAUAGGUCGAGGGCUUGAUCUU